GAUGAAGAACGUAGCAAAAUGCGAUAAGUAAUGUGAAUUGCAGAAUUCAGUGAAUCAUCGAAUCUUUGAACGCACAUUGCGCCCGCCAGUAUUCUGGCGGGCAUGCCUGUUCGAGCGUCAUUUCAACCCUCAGGCACAGCUUGGUGUUGGGACUCGCGUUAAUUCGCGUUCCCCAAAUUGAUUGGCGGUCACGUCGAGCUUCCAUAGCGUAGUAGUAAAACCCUCGUUACUGGUAAUCGUCGCGGCCACGCCGUUAAACCCCAACUUCUGAAUGUUGACCUCGGAUCAGGUAGGAAUACCCGCUGAACUUAAGCAUAUCAAUAAGCGGAGGA
rnacentral:misc_RNA from 1 species